CUUCGAGAAAGUUGGCACAGGCACUGCAUUGUUACUGGCAGCAAACACAUAAAGCGCGACCUUCAACGAAGAAGGCUGCACUUCCCGAUAGAACGGGACCUGGACAAAGGCGUCCUCGCUAGGUGACUAGCGGGACGCC
rnacentral:sRNA from 2 species